UCCCUUCUAUCAUUCCUUUUACUUUCAUAAUUCCUUUAAUCAUCUAAUCUUUUCCCUCACAUUGCGCCCUCUGGUAUUCCGGGGGGCAUGCCUGUCCGAGCGUCAUUGCACACCCUCAAGCGCUGCUUGUGUGUUGGGCCCCCGCGUCCUUGCCUCUUAAAGGACGGGCCCGAAAGGCAGUGGCGGCGUCGCGGUUAUCCGAUCAGCCAGAGCGUAUGGGGACUCUGUUCACACGUUUGGGGGCGCGGACCGACGCCAGUCCGGUUAACAAUCUUUCUUCCAAGGUUGACCUCGGAUCAGGUAGGGAUACCCGCUGAACUUAAGC
rnacentral:misc_RNA from 1 species